rnacentral:lncRNA from 1 species
GCUCAAGUCAGUUUCCUGGUGGAAGCUGAAUGUUCCUGUGGGUACUGUCCAGCCCACACUGAGAGUUCCGUGGGAAUAAGAGCUUUCCUUGUCUUAUGUACUGAGGGGCCUUCAGUGCAAGAUUCAAGAUCAUUCCCAGCUACAUAGAAAGUUUCAGGUUAGCCUGGACUACAUGAGACCUUGUUUCAAUAAAAGGGAAAAAAAUGUUUUGUUGUUGUUGUUUUAGAAUUACUUCAGCAGAGUUAAAAUGAUUGGAUCUCUGUGAGUUUGAGGCCAGCCUGGACUACUGAGUGAGUUCCAGACAGACAGCAAACCCUCUUAAAAAACAAAAAGAAAAAGAACGCCAGCAAGGUGAUCCAUGUCAGAAAGAACAGAACUUUGCCUGAGUCCUUGACCAGUGGCUCUGUGAUUGAGAAUCCAUCCAUACACAACGACACAUGCCUGCCAUCCUGCAUUCAGGACACUAACGCACAUUUAUAAGUUCAAGAUGUUCUGUUGAUGCUCACUGUGCCCCUCCCCACCCCACCAACCCAAACAAAGCCUGGCAUCACCCUGUCCCCAGCUCGCAGGGUGUCUGUCGACCUUUCCUGUUUCUUCCCUGCAGCACACAGGAUCACACCCUUGAAGGGAUUCACAAAACCACACCCUCGGGCCGGUGGGCCAGCCAGUUCCAAUCAUGAAGUCCUGGGAGAAGCAGUGUGAUUAACGCAUACCCAUUUCUCUGCCAGUCAGCUGGGACUCGACUCAGCUGGGUAGACCUGAGUGCCCGUGUAGUGAUUGCUACUGUGUGCAGCUUAAGCUCUUCAAGAGGACAGUCUUCACCUGUGGUGCCUGUGGCCUGGUGCUUGCUUAUGGUUGUCAGACAGCUUAACAUCAAGAAGUUGUUUCUGUCCCUCUAGAGAGGACACUGAGGUGUGUGGGAGGAGCUGCUGACAGUCUGUUAUUCCAUAAAGCUUAUCCAGCUGCCUCUAGUCAAAGGAGCUCCCAGAAGGCUUCUGGGGCCAGGCUCAGAAGUAGCUGACAUUGCAACAGAGAGCUAGUGUCAAUCCCUCACUUACCCCAGACUAGAGAAUGAAGUCUAGUUGUAUGUCUCCAUAGAGGAGGAUGUGCCUCAGUAUGCAGCAGAGAGCGUACCCCCACUAUUAGACCAGAUGCAGUUUACCAAUCUUCUUUAAUCCUGCCAUCUCCUGUGCCCAACUCCUACUACCCUCACUUGAACAUACAGCAGACAGGAGCACACAUUCUACUAGACCAGACUGCUGUGGCCAGUCAGUGACCUCCAUGUUGCUAAACAGCUGAGUUCACAGUCCUCACAUGACAACUUAUUGGCAGCAUUUGUCAUGGGUUGUAACUUCAACCUCCUUAAAACAUUUCCUCCUGAGUUUGAGGCCAGCCUGGUCUACAAAGUGAGUUCCAGGACAGCCAGGGCUACACAGAGAAAACCCUGUCUCG